rnacentral:tRNA from 4 species
GCCCAGGUAGUGUAGUGGCCUAUCAUGACGGCCUGUCACGCCGUCGACACGGAUUCGAAUUCCGUCCUGGGCGUCA